CUGCGACUUUCUUCUGAAGACUCCAAGAGGGCUACUGGAGACACCAAAAGAAGAGCCGCCACACAGAGACCCAAGUCCCUGGCAAAGAUAAAGCACAACUUAUGGGACCCCUAGCUCUCUCUUACCAGAGACCUGAAAUUGAUCCUACUCUUCUGUGGAUGGUGUCUGUUCACAGUGGUGGCAAUGAGGGCAGGUUCCUGGAUCUUGGGCAUUUAUCUUGUUUCUACAACACUCUCCUCUCCCUGCACCUACACUGCACCUACUCCACCUCAGAAUGGAUGCUCGGAUGCCCCAUGGAAGUGGGCUGAGGGAGUGAAUGAGUGAAUGGAUGAGGGAAAGAAAAGGGUCCAGUGCAAGAGAGACGGAUGCUCCAGAGGAUCUUCUUGUCAGAAGAGGGAACUCCUAACUAAAAGCCUGGCUAAUAUUUGCCUUAGCCUUAGAGAGCUGUAUUUGCACGGGUUCCUAAUGGUAUCUGGUGAAGCCCCCAUCAGUCCUUUCUCCCUGUGUGUGUGUUGAUAACCAAUCAACCUUGUUUGCCUAGGACUUUCUUCAUUUUAGUACUACAAGUUCCAUGUCCUGAAAAACCCUCAGUCCUGGACAACUAGGAGAGUUGAUCUCCCUGAAAGGGAGGAGACGGAGAGGGUGAGGGAGAGAAGAUGGAGACCUCAAUCAUGUGCAUACAUUCCUCUCUGAGUUUCUUACCUCCCUGGCACUUAUAUUCUAAAGUCCCCAGAACAUGGCUCUUCUACUGAUUAGAUACAUGACUUAUCUCUCUGAGCCUCAGUUUAUUUAUCAACAAAAGGGGCUAAUUAUCUUCCCUGCCUGCCACUGCUAAGAAAUUAAUAUCCUUUUCCUCUCCCAGCCUCAUGUCAUCAUGGCCCUUCUCAUCCUGCCAAGCUUCUGUGGACCAUCACAGUAGUUACCCUCGCUCCCGUUCAGAUAGUUGUCUGGCUAAAUCCCGACCUGGCUAGAUACAGUUAUUGUCCUACUCUUUCCCUGAACCUGAGAAGAGGAUGCAGUUGGAGAAAACUACACUCUUAGGCUGAUGGGUCUCACUUUAAAUUGUGACCACAAGUGACUGGAGGGCCCUUGGCACUGCUGAACAACACUGGUAUUUCCCAGAUCUCAUGACUACUUCACACCCUUUCCCCUCCCCCUAGGCCUCUGCAAAGCAGUCUUAGUUGAGAGCCCUGAAUCUGAUUUCACUGAGAAAAUAGAAGCAAUCAGAAGAAAAAUAUGUCAUCUCCCCCCUACCCCACAGGCACAGCCUGCAUCUGCGCCAGGCUCUCUGCCUUCCCUCAUGUGCUCCCAUCUGAGGCCAGCCCUUCCUCCAGUGCUCCCGUGUGAGGCCAGCCCUUCCUCCCAUGCUCCCGUCCAAGACUAGCCCUUCCCUCCUGUGUUCCUGUGUGUGGCCAGCCCUUCUUCCCUUGCAUCCGUGAGAGGCCAGCCUUUCCUCCCCUGUGAGGCCAGCCCUUCCCCCCGGGCUCCCACGUGAGGUCGAACCUUCCUCCCGUGCUCUGUCUUCCACUUUUCUUACCAGCUCCACACCAUGGUCCCUGUGAUAGUCAUUUCUCUCUCUGUAUUAUCCCUCACUGCCCCUCAUGUCCUUCCCACACCACCCGCACUUCUGGAUUGCUGCCAACUGUUUACAGAGAAGCUGUCAAUCUCAUCUCAUUUCCUACCUACCCCUCUUCCUUCACUCACUACUAAAUUGUGUUCCCCACAAAUGUGUAUGUUGAAGCCCUCACCCCCAUUGUGACUGUAUUUGGAAACAGAACCUUUAGGGUUGUAAUUAAGGUUAAAUGAGGUUGUAAGGAUGGGACCCCAAUCCAAUAAGACUGGUGCCCUUAUAAGAAGAGGAAGAGACACCAGAGUGCAUCUUUCUCUGUGCACACAGAGAAAAGACCAUUUGAGGGCACAGUGAAGAACUGCUCUGCCAGCCAAGGAGAGAGGUCUCACCCAAAACCAACCCUGCUUGCACAUUCAUUUUAGACUUCCAGUCUCCAGAACUAUGAG
rnacentral:lncRNA from 1 species